rnacentral:rRNA from 1 species
UACGAAGGACCCAAGCGUUAUCCGGAUUUAUUGGGUUUAAAGGGUGCGUAGGCGGAUUAUUAAGUCAGUGGUGAAAGCCUGCAGCUUAACUGCAGAAUUGCCAUUGAUACUGAUGAUCUUGAGUAUGAUUGAGGUGGGCGGAAUGUGUCAUGUAGCGGUGAAAUGCUUAAAUAUGACACAGAACACCGAUUGCGAAGGCAGCUCACUAAGCCAUAACUGACGCUGAUGCACGAAAGCGUGGGGAGCAAACAGG